rnacentral:misc_RNA from 1 species
GAUGAAGAACGCAGCGAAAUGCGAUACGUAAUGUGAAUUGCAGAAUUCAGUGAAUCAUCGAGUCUUUGAACGCACAUUGCGCCCCCUGGUAUUCCGGGGGGCAUGCCUGUCCGAGCGUCAUUGCUGCCCUCAAGCACGGCUUGUGUGUUGGGCCUCCGUCCUCCUCCCGGGGGCCGGGCCCGAAAGGCAGCGGCGGCACCGCGUCCGGUCCUCGAGCGUAUGGGGCUUCGUCACCCGCUCUUGUAGGCCCGGCCGGCGCUUGCCGACACAUCAAUCUUUUUUCCAGGUUGACCUCGGAUCAGGUAGGGAUACCCGCUGAACUUAAGCAUAUCAUAAGCGGAGGA